GUGUAGUAUGAAAGGAGAGAUACUUAGCACUCUCCUAAACAAGGAUGGAAACACACAUACCGGUUAAGGCACAUCUGGGCUUGCCCAGAAAUCUUAAACACCAUUUUCU
rnacentral:ncRNA from 1 species